UUCUACGGCCAUACCACCCUGAACGCACCCGAGCUCAUCUGAUCUCAGAAGCUAAGCAGGGUCGGGCCUGGUUAGUUUGUACUUGGAUGGGAGGCGAAUGGU
ensembl:rRNA 5S_rRNA 5S ribosomal RNA